CUCACACACACACACACACACACACACGGUCGAUCUGCCAUUGAACAGGAGAUUGAACCAUAGCAUGAACUCAGCCACAAACCUAGUUGUAGUGGCGAUUAUCUUAAAUAUUUGACUGACAUAUAUGUACGGUUAAGCAAUUUUAGGGUUGGAUUUUGGGGGUUUGUGAUUCUGCAUUGUUUAUCAGAAAUUAGGGGUUUUUUUUUGUCUAUGUGAUUUCUGGGGUUUGUGAUUCUAGGAUUUGGGCUUUUGUGUCGAUUCAUUCCAACCUACUUGCUAUUUGUCUCAAAAUUCGCUAUUCGGAGUUGGUAGUAUAUUUUGUUCUCUUCAUUGAAUGUGCCGAUCAACAUUCCAAUCCUGAACCACAUUGUUUGACUCAGUGUAAUUGAGUUGUGAACUUGUGAUUUAGGUAUAUUUUUGAAAUGCCAGGAUUAUUUUGCUAAUCCUGACUUUGGAUAAUCAUGUGAUUUUUGCUUUUUCUUCACCUACUGUUCUGAAUUUGGAAUCUGUAGCAAAAUAGAAGAAGAAAACAGUUUGUUUCUACUUAUCAGUUGACUGGUAAAUGCUCGGAAGUUUGAGAUUGCCGAUGACAUGUUCUGGAAGGAUGGUAAGCCUGUCCAAAUUAUUAGUGGGGAAAUGCAUUAUUUCCGGAUCCUCCCUGAGGUACUUCCCUUUUGUAUUUUGUAAACCUUUUUGUUAUAAUUUAUUGCCUCAUGUGUUUGACGACGAGCAUGAUGUAUUCUCGAAUAAUUCGAGGCAUAGACAAAAACAUGGUAAAUCGCAAUACAAAUAAGGAAAAAACCAGGAUUUCUACUACCCCAGUUUAUUCCUGUCAAUCUGGGAUCCCCCCCUUUUUUUUCCCCAUUGGUGGAUUGGGUACAGAGUCUACAGAGCCCAGCCUUUGCCGUCCAACAUUGCAAUAUAUACUCAAAGGUGGACCUACAUAUUUUUUUCCAAGGGGUCCCUUAGAGUAUGUGUCCUUCUAGAACUGCAUGCAAAGAAUAUGCAUAACAAGAACUUGAUAAUUGAUAGAAAAACAAUUGUUAUGAUGGAAAUAUUGUGUGCUUGAUAGAAUCUGUGGUUUGAUUUUCUGAUUUGGUUUUUGAUUUUGAUGAUUGAAGUAUUGGGAAGAUAGGCUGUUGAGGGCAAAGGCAUUUGGUUUGAAUACUAUUCAGACUUAUGUUCCUUGGAAUCUGCAUGAACCAAGUCGGGGGGAGCUUGAUUUCGAAGGCAUUGCAGAUAUUGUCUCUUUUUUAAAAGCAAUACCAGAAGUUGGAUCUCCUAGUUAUGCUACGAGCUGGACCUUAUAUAUGUGCUGAGUGGGAUUUGGGGGGAUUUCCUCCAUGGUUACUCGCCGUUGAACCAGCUCUGAGAUUGAGAUCAUCAGACCCUGCUUUCCUUUACUUGGUACAUUUUCCAUUUGUAUAAUCUCAUAUGUUAGAUAUCCUAGCAUAUGAAGGUUGUAUAAA